UUUGGGACCAUUCACUGCCGGUAAAAUCCCUUCCUCUGGCGAAGACGAUGCCGCAAGUCUCACCACUUAUGAUUGGAUUGUGAUAAACGCGUUGGACCGCUGAACAAAGCCGAGAGAGAAAAAUCUUACGAGGUUUUUGUGUAAAUAACAUAUAAGUCACCUAUGCAUGUAAAUUAUGUAAAUAUUUACUGAUACGGUCAGUAUUCAAUUGA